AUGUACUGCUGUUUUUGGCACUUUCACAGUGGCUUCAUUUUUCUAGGCCAGGAGCUUGUCUUAUUGGAUGGGCACAGAGAAUCCAGCACCCACAUUCUGUAUCUAUCUGUUGGAGAUAUAAGUUUUACCCAGUGGAUGAAGACAUUACCCAGGGAUUCAACUGCACAUAAAAAAUGCCCUUUGCAUCACAAGGUAUUAGGCUUGUCAAUGAAAACGAAACCCAGUUUAAUCAAUUUUAACUGCGUUCUCCCUUAAUUGUUCCCUGACUUUUCCACUCUGCACAUUGGAGCAUCACUGAAAUGUAAUCCACCCCAAUAAAAAUCUUUAGUGGGAAAAAGUAACAGAGUUUGUAAACUCAGUAAAUUUAGAGCAAAGGUCAUUAGCAGACACAACAAAAAAGAUGCGGUUGAGUUAAAAAUUCAAAGACCUCCAAUGACACCAAAGCAGCUAUCUUUACCCAUCAGGUCCUUUACAUGCAGCAGCUAUUAAUAACAAAACUACAAAGAGGAUUGAUAGAUAUAGCACACAAGCACUGUAAGUCAGGCUUUUUCCAUGUAUUCUUUUCUUACAAUACCAAACUUUACCGGGCUUUAAACAAUACUUGCAUUGCCUGAAGUCUGUAUUACUCACACAUAACAUAUUCAAAAUACAUCUUGUAUAUAUGUGAAGUACUCUACAUACGUGUGUUUGUAUGUUUGUAUGUAUUGGCACUGGGGGCUAAUGGGUAGGGGGUGGGGGGUAGACCAAGGGUCCAGAUGGUUGGAAAGAUAGAUGUAGAGGUAGAUAAAGACAAAGAAAGAGGGAACAAAGGAAAGGCAGAAGAACACACUGUUUAUCAUUCAGGAGACUCUCCCCAAUGGUCACUGCUCAGCUAGCACACAUACAUACACACAGGUAUGUGUUGGUCUUAAUCCUAUUGUGUAGCAGUGACCAGAGUGUGGGAGUCUCAUCACCUGUCUCCUCUCGCUCUCUCACACACACACACAGUGAAGGAGUAUAAUCCUGUCAGUAACUGUGAUGGAAUUUAGAGAGGAUUUAAUUUUUAUAAUUCUACCAGCAUACUAUGAAUCAUGGGAGCAAAAAGUAAAGUCCAGAAUAUCUGUGUAAGCACAUACACAUCUCUGUCUUUUGGUGCAAUGUAUUUUUUACAUCUCAGUCUUUUAUUCUGCUGUUCCAGUAUAUUCAUUUUAAGUCUCUUUUAAAAAACAUGUAUAUUCACUUCAUCCAUUAGUUUUCACACAAAAAUGCUAAAAUAAAAUAAAAUAUUUAUGAUUUCUUUACUCUCUUGUGGCAGUUUUACAUAAUGUAAUCAAAUUAAAGUGAACACCACCAGUGUGCAGCUGGAAGCGUCUGUAGGGAAAUGGCUGCAGAUGGGAGCCAUGAGGGUUGAAACUAUUAAAUGGUGCUGAAUGCUCAUAUAUAUACAUUAAACUGUCCUAAACAGGGGCAGCAUGUUUGAACUGUACCAGGGUGGUUUCAUUGUUUAGUAUAAGAUAUUGUUGGCUGAAUGUGCUUGAUUGACGGGAAAUUGGAGAGGAGUCUGGGCAGUCUGUCAAAUUGUUAAUAUGAUAGGUAAUACCCCAAGGACAUGCACAUACGCACAAACAAGAAAGUGACUCCCUUUCUAUCAGCCUUUCUCUAUCAGUCUCUCUAAAGACUCCUACAUGUACCUGAAUUUCUUUACGUCGCUGUCUUUCAUUUUCCUUCCCACACACGGACAGCUUUCCAGCUUUUCUUUUCACAUAUACUCUCCCUGUGAUUUAAUCUUUCACACACACCUAUAUAUGCACUCUGAGUGUUUGGCUAUGUGGCAUUUUACUGCAGGUUAAUAAUGAGAGGAGAGGUGUGUGACCCUGUCAGAAGUGUGAGAAACUGACCCAAAGACAUCAGACAGAGGCCGAGACCCCCCAACCCUGAGGGCAUUAAAGUGUGUGCGUAUAAUAGAGGGGAUGCAUGUGUGUGUAUGUGUGUGUGUCCAUCCCCGUCUUCUCAUAGAUGACAUAUGUGGGGUCAUUUACAUACUAUUACCUUUCUACUGGAUAUGAGGAAUUACAGACACACACACACUCACACACACAGAAAGGUGGAUUGGCCUGGUGUGAUGUCCCUGUCAGAUGUCAGGCUGCAGAUGGGAUGAAAUAGAGGGAGGUAGGUCACGUCUGUUUCCUUUUUUUCUCUCACACAAGCACAUACACUCACAGACACACACCUGUCUUGCCCCUAAGGUGCCCAGUUACUAAGAGAGUUGUCAGCAGGUCUGUGGGAAGCCUCAACUGUUUGACAUCUGCCAGAAAACUCCCAAAACAUGCAUGCACAUAUCCCCCACCACCUCAUUUCAGAACAACAGAGCAUCUCCCAAUGAUCAACAUUUAGAUACAGUCAUCACUUACUGGUCCCUGCUGCCACACACACACUCCUCAGGAGAAAUAAAUGUUAAAGUUAUGGGCUAGUGGAGAGAUUGAACUGCAGGCAAGUUGGUGGUGAAA
rnacentral:lncRNA from 1 species